AUGGGUGGUUAAGGGGUGGAAAGGUUUAGGAUUGAUUUUAUUUAACUGGAUAAUUUUAAGUUAGUAAGGUUGAUUACAAACUUGGUGAGAGAGUGGAAAAGAAAGAGAGAAAGUCGUAAGUUGAGUGGAGAGAAACAUUUCUAUGUGAGAAACAACCAAGUGGUGAGACAAAGAAAGUGGUCACCCUAGCCUUGGAGUCUUGGACGUCACUUGUAGGAGAUCAAGAAGAGUGAAAGCUUGUUGUCUAGUGAGGAAAGAAACGUAAGAGCCUUUGGAAGCUUGCUUGGAACUAGAGGUAAGGGGUUUAACUUGGGACAUAAUAUGGUGUAUGAUGGGUAGAAGGUAACAUGAUAAUGUUGAUGCAUGCUUUCUUUCUUUUAUGUUGAGAUUAAAGUUAACAUGUUGAUGCAUGCUCUCUCUUUUUGUGUUUAGUUUCAUGUGUUGUUGUAUGGAGAAUGAUUAUUUUCAUGCAUUUUCAAAAUUGGGUUGUGAAGGGGUAUACUUUGCAUGAAUUAUAUAUAUUAUGGGGCACUUAUCUACACUCUUUGACCAAGAGUGUGGGUAGGAGGGUAUUGAGAGUACUCUUCCAUUGUUGCAAGAGAAAAGAGUGAGUUAUGAGUAUGAGAGGAGUGAAAGUGAUGUUUUUGUGAGAUGGGGUAUAUGGGGUUGAUGAAAGUAGUGAAGAAAGAAGAAGCUUGGUGUCAUUGGAGGAAGAAGAACAUGAAGGAAGAAUUAUGGAAGUGGAAGGAGGAGAUGGGCACACUAUAAAUCACAUAGCAAAGGCAAGGAGAAAAGAGAAGAGUCUUAUGUUGGAGUUGAGAAGGAAAACCAAAGAGAAGAGGAAGGGACGUAAGGGUUGAAGGAAGAAGAAAUAAACAAAAAAAAAGCAUGAAGGGGGGAGAGUCUCGGUUAAUGUGGGGAGUUGGAGAAGAGUAGAAGAAAGGUGCUUUAUGGGUUUUAGUUGAGAAAGAAAAACUGAAAGAGUCAAAGAAGGUGUGUGUGUAUGUGUUUGUCGUGAGUUGAGUGGGAGAAAGGUGAGUUAGAAAGGAUGUUUAAAAGUCAAAGGGGAAUGAAAAAUGAAAUUUAGAAGAGUGUGUGUUGGGUUACGUAAUGGUUAGAAAAAGAAAAAGGUAAAGAGAAGAAAGAGAAUGGAGUAUUGUUUUUGUGUUGCAAAAGGAAAAAAAAGUGAGAAUGCAUGGGAUGUGUGUUACAUAGAAUGAAGAGGAAAUCAAAAUGAAAUAAGGUGUGAGAGUAGUGUGGGACCAUAAGCUUUAACGAAGGAGAGAGAAAAAAAGAAAGAUAGUGUAGGUAUGGAGAGUAUAUUGUUACCAAUGAGGAGCAUUGGUAAAUCUUGAAGUAAAUGGUUUUGAUGAUGCUGCAAGAAGUUUAACCUAAAGAAGUCAUUAGAGAAUUUCUUUUAAAAGCACUUUUAGAAUAUAAAUGUAUUAGGAAUGUCUUUAAAUAUGUAAAACUUGUAUUUUUGGUACUGUUCUGGAAUAAUCGAUUAUGAGGAGCAAUAAUCGAUUAACAUGAGCUUUUCUGAAAAAC
rnacentral:lncRNA from 1 species